ensembl:lncRNA
CUCAAACACCAGAAGAACCGACUCAAACACCUUAAGAACCGACUCAAUCACCAGAAGAACCGACACAAACACGAGAAGAAGAACGACACAAAAACACGAGAAGAACCGACAAAACACGAAAAGAACCGACUCAAACACCAGAAGAACCGACUCAAACACCUUAAGAACCGACUCAAACACGAGAAGAACCGACUCAAACACCUUAAGAACCGACUCAAACACCAGAAGAACCAACUCAAACACCAGAAGAACCGACUCAAACACCUUAAGAACCGACUCAAACACCUUAAGAACCGACUCAAACACCAGAAGAACCAACUCAAACACCAGAAGAACCGACUCAAACACCAGAAGAACCGACUCAAACACAAGAACCGACACAAACACCUUAAGAACGACUCAAACACGAGAAGAACCGACUCAAACACAGAAGAACCGACUCAAACACCAGAAGGACCGACACAAACACGAGAAGAACGACAAAAACACGAGAAGAACCGAGUCAAACACCAGAAGAACCGACUCAAACACAGAAGAACCGACAAAAACACGAGAAGAACCGACUCAAAUACCAGAAGAACCGACUCAAACACCAGAAGAACCGACUCAAACACCAGAAGAACCGACACAAACACGAGAAGAACCGACACAAACACGAGAAGAAACCGACAAAAACACGAGAAGAACCGACUCAAAUACCAGAAGAACCGACUCAAACACCUUAAGAACCGACUCAAACACCUUAAGAACCGACUCAAACACCAGAAAAGAACCGACACAAACACCUUAAGAACCGACUCAAUCGCCAGAAGAACCGACACAAACACGAGAAGAACCGACUCAAACACCAGAAGAACCGACACAAACACCUUAAGAACCGACUCAAUCGCCAGAAGAACCGACACAAACACGAGAAGAACCGACUCAAACACCAGAAGAACCGACACAAACACCUUAAGAACCGACACAAACACCAGAAGAACCGACACAAACACCAGAAGAACCGACUCAAACACCAGAAGAACCGACACAAACACCAGAAGAACCGACUCAAACACCAGAAGAACCGACACAAACACCUUAAGAACCGACACAAACACCUUAAGAACCGACACAAACACCAGAAGAACCGACACAAACACCAGAAGAACCGACUCAAACACCAGAAGAACCGACACAAACCUUAAGAACCGACACAAACACCAGAAGAACCGACACAAACACCAGAAGAACCGACUCAAACACCAGAAGAACCGACACAAACACCUUAAGAACCGACUCAAUCACCAGAAGAACCGACACAAACACGAGAAGAACCGACAAAAACACGAGAAGAACCGACUCAAAUACCAGAAGAACCGACUCAAACACCAGAAGAACCGACUCAAACACCUUAAGAACCGACUCAAUCACCAGAGAACAAACGACACAAACACGAGAAGAACCGACACAAACACGAGAAGAACCGACAAAAACACGAAAAGAACCGACUCAAACACCAGAAGAACCGACUCAAACACCUUAAGAACCGACUCAAACACGAGAAGAACCGACUCAAACACCAGAAGAACCGACUCAAACACCAGAAGAACCGACUCAAACACCAGAAGAACCGACUCAAACACCUUAAGAACCGACACAAACACCAGAAGAACCGACACAAACACCAGAAGAACCGACUCAAACACCAGAAGAACCGACACAAACACCUUAAGAACCGACACAAACACCAGAAGAACCGACACAAACACCAGAAGAACCGACUCAAACACCAGAAGAACCGACACAAACACCUUAAGAACCGACUCAAUCACCAGAAGAACCGACACAAACACGAGAAGAACCGACAAAAACACGAGAAGAACCGACUCAAAUACCAGAAGAACCGACUCAAACACCUUAAGAACCGACUCAAUCACCAGAAGAACCGACACAAACACAGAGAGAACCGACACAAACACGAGAAGAACCGACAAAAACACGAAAAGAACCGACUCAAACACCAGAAGAACCGACUCAAACACCUUAAGAACCGACUCAAACACCUUAAGAACCGACUCAAACACCAGAAGAACCGACUCAAACACCAGAAGAACCGACUCAAACACCAGAAGAACCGACACAAACACCUUAAGAACCGACUCAAACACGAGAAGAACCGACUCAAACACGAGAAGGACCGACACAAACACGAGAAGAACCGACAAAAACACGAGAAGAACCGACUCAAAUACCAGAAGAACCGACUCAAACACCAGAAGAACCGACUCAAACACCUUAAGAACCGACUCAAACAUGAGAAGAACCGACUCAAAUACCAGAAGAACCGACUCAAAUACCAGAAGAACCGAUUCAAAUACCAGAAGAACCGACUCAAACACCAGAAGAGCCGACUCAAACACCUUAAGAACCGACUCAAACACCAGAAGAACCGACUCAAACACCAGAAGAACCGACACAAACACCUUAAGAACCGACUCAAACACCAGAAGAACCGACACAAACACCAGAAGAACCGACACAAACACCAGAAGAACCGACUCAAACACCAGAAGAACCGACACAAACACUUAA